GUCGGGGUCGCCUAGCUCGGUAGGGCGCUAGCCUGCUAAGCUAGUUUCCAUUGGAUACGUGGGUUCAAAUCCCACUCCCGACGCCA
rnacentral:tRNA from 1 species